GACGAACGCUGGCGGCGUGCCUAAUACAUGCAAGUAGAACGCUGAAGGAGGAGCUUGCUUCUCUGGAUGAGUGGCGAACGGGUGAGUAACGCGUAGGUAACCUGCCUGGUAGCGGGGGAUAACUUUUGGAAACGAUAGCUAAUACCGCAUAAGAGCAGCUGCUGCAUGACAUUUGCUCAAAAGGUGCAAUUGCAUCGCUACCAGAUGGACCUUCGUUGGAUUAGCUAGUAGGUGGGGUAACGGAUCACCUAGGCGAGGAUACAUAGUGAACCGGUGAGGGGGGGUGGCCACACUGGGAGUGAGACAGGGCCCAGACUGCUAGGGGAAGGAGCAAUAGGGAUACUUCGGCAAUGGGCGGAAGUCUGACCGAGAAACGCCGCGGGAGUAAAGAGGGUCUUCGGAUCGUAAAGGACGGUUGUAAGAGAAGAACGAGUGUGAGAGUGGAAAGUUCACACUGUGACGGUAUCUGACCAGAAAGGGACGGCUAACUACGUG
rnacentral:rRNA from 1 species